UCCACCAACCGGAAGAGUUCGGGAAAGGUUUAAAGGAGACACCGCCUGUACAUUGUGAGCCACGCGGCAGAGCAGUUCUCCUGGGUUUCCUUACCCUGCUGCUCUCCACCCGGGGGCCCUUUCCCAAUAAAAUCUCUUGCUCUGUCAGCACAUAUGUCUCCUCAGACAAUUCAUUUCCAAGUAUUAGGCAAGAGCCCAGUUUCGGGUCCUGGAAGGGGUCCCUCUUCCUGCAACAAAUGGUGUCUCUGGCGGAGACUCUUCUUCACCAAGACUGACAUCCUAACCACUUGGGGUACUCAGGGGCCAGCUUGCCUGCCAAUGGACCAGACCCAGCGGCCGCAACUGGGACCCUUUUGUCCCUGGUCUCCUCCUGACGUGGACAACUGGCCAGAGUGCCCCAACCGAUCAGAUGCCUCAUGA
rnacentral:lncRNA from 1 species